GCCAGCGUGCUGUAGUGGUUUGAGUGUUGGACUACAACUCUGGAGAUGAGGGUUCGAAUCCCCACUCAGCCA
rnacentral:tRNA from 1 species